rnacentral:rRNA from 1 species
UACGUAGGGUGCAAGCGUUGUCCGGAAUUAUUGGGCGUAAAGAGCUCGUAGGCGGUCUGUCGCGUCGGAUGUGAAAACCCAGGGCUCAACCCUGGGCCUGCAUUCGAUACUGGCGAACUCGAGUGCGUGAGGGUAACCGGAACGAGUGGUGUAGCGGUGAAAUGCGUAGAUAUCACUCGGAAGGCCAAAGGCGAAGGCAGGUUACUGGUACGCAACUGACGCUGAGGCACGAAAGCGUGGGGAGCAAACAGG